AGCAGUAGCCGCGGUAAUACGAAGGGGGCUAGCGUUGCUCGGAAUCACUGGGCGUAAAGGGUGCGUAGGCGGGUCUUUAAGUCAGAGGUGAAAGCCUGGAGCUCAACUCCAGAACUGCCUUUGAUACUGGAGAUCUCGAGUUCGGGAGAGGUAAGUGGAACUGCGAGUGUAGAGGUGAAAUUCGUAGAUAUUCGCAAGAACACCAGUGGCGAAGGCGGCUCACUGGCCCGAUACUGACGCUGAGGCACGAAAGCGUGGGGAGCGAACAGGAUUAGAUACCCGUGUAGUCCCUGUCUCUUAUAA
rnacentral:rRNA from 1 species